rnacentral:rRNA from 1 species
GAUGAACGCUGGCGGCGUGCCUAAUACAUGCAAGUCGAGCGAACAGACGAGGAGCUUGCUCCUCUGACGUUAGCGGCGGACGGGGGAGUAACACGUGGAUAACCUACCUAUAAGACUGGGAUAACUUCGGGAAACCGGAGCUAAUACCGGAUAAUAUAUUGAACCGCAUGGUUCAAUAGUGAAAGACGGUUUUGCUGUCACUUAUAGAUGGAUCCGCGCCGCAUUAGCUAGUUGGUAAGGUAACGGCUUACCAAGGCAACGAUGCGUAGCCGACCUGAGAGGGUGAUCGGCCACACUGGAACUGAGACACGUUCCAGACUCCUACGGGAGGCAGCAGUAGGGAAUCUUCCGCAAUGGGCGAAAGCCUGACGGAGCAACGCCGCGUGAGUGAUGAAGGUCUUCGGAUCGUAAAACUCUGUUAUUAGGGAAGAACAAAUGUGUAAGUAACUAUGCACGUCUUGACGGUACCUAAUCAGAAAGCCACGGCUAACUACGUG